GGGCCGGUAGCUUAGCUGGUAGAGCGUCGCGUUUGCAUCGCGAAGGUCGAGAGUUCGAAUCUCUUCCGGUCCACCG
rnacentral:tRNA from 1 species